GUGGAAUUAGCUCAAUUUGGUUAGAGCGCCUGACUGUGGCUCAGGAGGCUGAGGGUUCGAGUCCCUUAUUCCACC
rnacentral:tRNA from 1 species